CAGAUGCAGACGAUAGCGCAAUGGAACCUGGAGGCACAGAGAUGCAGCACAGAAAGAAGCAGCCACAAAUGCAAAGAGGAAAUUAACAUUCUAGUCAUGGAGUAGAAGCCGUUUAUUCUGGAGUUCAUUCUGAGGAGUACAUGCAGAGCGCGGCAGUACAUGCAGAGCACAGCAGUCAUUUUUGUUUUAAUGUGGCAAUUGAUUAAGGCUUGCUAAGGAUAUAAGGAGAUGAGAAGUACCAACCACAAUACGUUGUGGAGUGUCCUGCUUCCAUGCCUUCCACCCACAAUGGACUGUAUCCUCUAAAAAUCAGAAGGUAUGGGCUCCUCUUACAUAAUCAGGAUGGCCUCACAAGAAAGCCAGCCAGCUCCACUACAGAUGAUCCAGUAACACAAGCAAAAAUUACAAGCAAUUGCCCACCUGGAAGCCUGGACAUGCUGAAGGAGUGUCAUUAUAGGAAUCAUUUUCCUGAAGGUUUGCUGACCCCUUCCUGAGACUAGACCAAUCAACUCUCUCUCAGAUUCACCUGAGUCUGAGGCUAAAGACCGCUACAGUGAGGUUAUAAAUAGACCCUUGCCAGGUGGACAAGGCCUCUUGUUGGUUUUCCACAUCUCCUGACCUUCCAGGUCCUGCUCUGGGAAGCUCCCUGAUCUCAGCUGCUGGACUAGACCCUCCUCUCAUGUCGUCUCCACGACUCCUCCUGCCGUCCACAUGGCAGGAGCUCUCUGCACCCUC